rnacentral:rRNA from 1 species
ACGAAGGGGGCUAGCGUUGUUCGGAAUUACUGGGCGUAAAGCGCACGUAGGCGGAUAUUUAAGUUAGGGGUGAAAUCCCAGGGCUCAACCCUGGAACUGCCUCUAAUACUGGGUAUCUCGAGUCCGAGAGAGGUGAGUGGAAUUCCGAGUGUAGAGGUGAAAUUCGUAGAUAUUCGGAGGAACACCAGUGGCGAAGGCGGCUCACUGGCUCGGUACUGACGCUGAGGUGCGAAAGCGUGGGGAGCAAACAGGA